rnacentral:tRNA from 1 species
UCUUACAAAGUAAUUUAAUACACUUAGUUUCGACCUAAGACCUAGGGGUUAAGCUCCCCUGUAAGAU